GCCCAAGUGGCGAAAUGGUAGACGCGCUGCUUUCAGGUGGCAGUGGUCGCAAGGCUGUGCAGGUUCGAGUCCUGUCUUGGGCACAA
rnacentral:tRNA from 1 species